rnacentral:rRNA from 1 species
AACGAACGCUGGCGGCAGGCCUCAUACAUGCAAGUCGAACGCCCCUUCCGGGGGAGUGGCAGACGGGUGAGUAACACGUGGGAACCUACCCAAAGGUUCGGAAUAACUCAGGGAAACUUGAGCUAAUACCGGAUAAGCCUUACGAGGGAAAGAUUUAUCGCCUUUGGAUGGGCCCGCGGCAGAUUAGUUUGUUGGUGGGGUAAUGGCCUACCAAGACUACGAUCUGUAGCUGGUUUGAGAGGAUGAUCAGCCACACUGGGACUGAGACACGGCCCAGACUCCUACGGGAGGCAGCAGUAGGGAAUCUUGCACAAUGGGCGAAAGCCUGAUGCAGCCAUGCCGCGUGAGUGAAGAAGGCUCUAGGGUUGUAAAACUCUUUCAGCGGGGAAGAUGAUGACGGUACCCGCAGAAGAAGCCCCGGCUAACUCCGUG